GAUAUGGAUGUACUCGCCUUCUCCAACAACAAUUUAAAUUCAUCUACUGGAGCUUGAUUGGUCAGGUCUCGCGCCACACUGUAAUCUGUCAUGGUGCAGCAGAAGAGAUGAAUACUUGUUCCGGUGUGGUGGCGGUGGCGGUGGUGUUAGUGAUGGUGGUGGUACAGGUGAAGAGCCAGGCUGCCGCCGCCAGGGACCCGCCCUCCUCCACCAACGUACGACGACUGCUAGGACGUAAAAAGCACACCCUUGCCUUGGAGAGCCACGCUGAUGGGAGCGUGGUGAUGACAGAUCCCAUGCCUCUUGUGCUGGCCGAGGUAGUGCGGAAUCUAGGAGGUGACGAGCGUGGUCCUUGUGGCGUCCUGCUCUACUACGACCUGAAGACGGUGCCUCCCGAAGAUUUGGAUAUUUUCCGCACUGCUCUGGACGUCCCCGUCACACUGGUAGAUGUGAGCAAGCUUAAAUUUUCGCUUAUCACUAAAACACGACGCCGGGUGCCGCUCAUCGACCUUCUCUCAAACCGGACAGACAACCGCUGCCGGAUACUUGUGGCUUGGUCGUUAAGCACCUACCAGCGCGCCCUCCUUGUGAUGGCUGAGGGAGAGCCUGGUGUUCUGGGUUCCAGAGACACCCUGGUCUUACCUGUCACAGACCAGCGCCUGGACCGUUUCAUCCCGCGACUACGACGGCGCAUCCUAGUGAAGAGGCGGGAACCACGCGGCGUGCGCGGACGCCGGGACCUUAAUCUCACCAAGUUCCUGGUGGAAGGAGCUUGUGAAGUGUGUGAGCGUUACUUGUUGACCCGUCUGGGGGAGUGGCGACAUCCUGAGGGGUGGGUAUGGGGAGGAGCCAUGCACUAUGGUCAGGAUCUGUCUGGGGGCACCCUAACGGUGGCUUACACUCCCUCUGUACCCAACAUAUUUCUAGUGGAAGGAGAUGGUGUUCAGAGACUCGACGGCAUCGAGUUGCGACUGUUGGAGUAUGCGGCUAAAGCUCUUAACUUCAGCUAUCGCUUAAUUGGACCUGAAGAUAGUGUGGGAGCUGUGAACAAGACGUGGGCGGGGAAGGUGAGCGAGGUGGUGAGUGGGCGGGCAGACAUAGCUGUUGGUGGAUUAGUGUACACCGAGGAACGAGCUUCUGUUGCCGAAUAUACCAUUUUGUUUAAUAACGAGUUGUGGGGCAUCGUGUGCCCCUUGUCGGCUCGCCUGCCAGUGUGGCCCUACAUCAUGUUCCCCUUCAGGACUGAGUCAGCACCCUCAGUGUUCAUCCUACUGGUAAUGCUUCACGUGAUGGUUUACCUGGUGGGGACGGUGAUGGGGGCACAAGCGCCUCAAGGGCCAAGGGACCCUUGGGCAGAGUCCGUAUUCAGAGUUGUACAUGUUGGUAUAUCCAUGUAUCUUCGCUUCAUGGCCUGCUUAUACUUCUGGAACAUAUAUUACUGCUUCAUCAAACCCAAGUACGAGCCGCCAGUGGACACAUCGGCUGCUCUUCUACAGUCAGGUUAUAACUGGGGCGUGGUAUCUGGCACCACUGUCCCCAGCAUUCUCUCAUUCUCUCGACACGAUGACCACAGGCAACUUGUAAGCAAUGCUGAACAACUCUCAUCCAUAAACGAAGGGUUUCAGCGCCUCCGCAAAGAAAGCCUGUGCCUGGUCGGGGUACCUAAGAGGUACGCAUUUGCCACCAUAGCCAUGCGACAUACAACGAAGUGCGGAGAACCCGGCUUGCAAGUCAGCACAGAGGACCUCAACUCUGUACUCGGUGGAUGGAUACUGGCUCGAGGAUCCCCACUUACUUCCUACAUAAAUUCCAUCAUCUUACGCCUACAGAGCUUCGGCCUCCUGGAUCACUGGCGGAAGGAAAUGCACGAGUUUCUCAUCACUCGAGCCCCUAGAGACCUGCCUUGUCUCAACCCUCCUCCUGCAGCUCUCACAAUGUUGGAUCUGCGGCUCGCUCUCUUUUUACUCGUGGGUGGCUGGGGUUUGGCCGUGUUCGUUUUCAUAGGUGAACAAUUUGCCUAUAACUUCUUGAAGAUGACUGGUGCGCCGGUUGAGCACCGCGACUCAGAUAUUCCCGCCCAAACUGAAGCGCCGUCUAACAACGAGGAACCCGGGAGUUUACGUGGGUGGCUCGCUGAUAUUUUGUAUCCAGAACCUUCUAUUAAUAUAAGUGCAAAAGAAGCAGCUUUUCGAAAACAGCUGAAUUCUAUCCUUAGAGAUAUUUGGGGUUUCGAUACGAGAUGAGAUUGGACCCCAGAGGCGCGGGCGGCGUGGCCUUCGCCUCUGGGAGCGCCAAGGGACCGUACUCAGUCACUGCCUCUUGUACCACCUCGACCACGUCGGCACUUGCACGACAUUCGUGACGUGCCUGUUGACCUACUCCAUGUUGACCAUCGUGACCCGAAUGAAUAUAAGCAGGGUCCAUGGUCGGUGUUCAUGGUGGCCUCCAAGGCACCCUCACGCCCUGGCAACAUCUCUACUGCUGCCAAAACUCAUCGUAGGUCCUCCCUCUCCACUCCACUUCCUCAAGGUGCUACUUCCAUUCCCAGACGCACCUCAUUACCCCAGGAGGCAGACGACAGUUCACCCUGGGUGAGCAGUAGCUCCACAUUAGUGCAUCACCCUCACACACUUCCCUCGCCAGAAAGGGACUCUCCAAACAUAAGACUCAUCCAGCGCCUUGACUUGCCUCCAGCAGCCAAGAAGUACAUGACGUAUGAUGCAGACAACUACUCUGAAGAGGACGACAACUAGCCAAAUGACACGCGGCCUAUGGUUUGUGCGAUUGGUCCAUUAACGUGCCACAAGAGGCUAUCAGCACUCCCACAAUAGGCUAUCACCACUGCUACAAGAGGCUAAAACCACUGCCAACCACCUCAGUGGUAAUUUACCAAGCUCCCACCGCAGUGGUCACCACCACCACAUCAUCUUAGCAGUCAGUGGGCAGUAAGGAACAAGAAUUCAUUACAAAUCAACGUCUGCUCGACCUUGGAUUUCAAUUUCCAUGUAACUGACCAAGUACAAAUUUAUCAAUUUCUCUUAAGAGAUAGUUUAGAGAGGAAAACUAGCGAAAUUCUGGAUGAAAUUUGUACGGAUUUAGGAGUGAGGGCUGACAAUGUUAUUAGUCUACAUCACGAUUUUAGGCUAACUACAUUGUCAGUCUUCGCUUAUUGUAGAUUGUACAAUGGUAUAUUGUACAAGCUACUGUAGACUGGCUGUAAACUACAAUCAAUCUACAGAUGCUUGUAGAUUGGUUGUAAACUACAACCAAUCUACAAUCGUUUGUAGAUUGACUGUAGUCUACAACCUUUAACCAUUUUUCCAAUCAAGAAGAUCAAUGCUAGUUUAGCCUGUAACCGUGAAUAUGCCAUAGUGUUAAUUUCCUUUUAAUUUAAUAUAACUAACGAAUGUUAAUUUUCCGCCGUUAUUUAACGCCAUAUGUACCAGGAUAGGUAUGACCAUAGAGCAGCAAUACCUAUCUCCCUUUCACUAUUUUACCUUACAUCUACAUGCCUAUCACAAAUGUUCUCUUGCCUAUCAGCCUGUCACAAAUAUACCUCAAAUGUACCAAGGUUUGAUCAUAUACAUUUACCUUACUUUGGGCUACUUCUCGCCAAUACGCUAAUCGAUAUUGUAAACUAGCCAUAAAGUAGCUAUUGAAAGUAGCCAAUCGCUACUUCUCGCCUGCUGCACCUUCCUGCUCUUACGGGUGAGAGCUGUCCUGCUUCCUCCAAAUACAGGAAGCCGGCUGCUUGUUGAAGGACCCCCCAUUUCACUUGAUCUUUUCCAGGUGUACAUUAAAGCUAAAAAGAGUGUCUAACAUAUUCAUUCAUUGUAUAGAGUCCAACCUACUCUCCUCUUCUGUAUAGUAUAUUCAACAUGAUUUCCUCUGUUGUAUAAUAUAUUCAACAUACUUUCUUCUAGUGAGUAAGCGUAGCAUAUUCUUGACUUGAUACACUGAAGAAUAUUUUAUAUAUGUAUUAUAAAGACAUUUCAAAUAUAUUCUCCAUAUUGUUUUAUUUGUGUAAAUUAAUCGGACUUAGAAGAGUACUAAAAGUUAUUUGAUAGCCUUUUUAAUAUGGCAUCACAUUGACUGUUUAUACAAUGAUGUUUUAGUGGUGGUGUCAGAUAUAUCAUGAAAUAAUGUUUAGAAAUAUACUAUAUUUUUUUCGCCAAUGCUGCAAUUUACAUCAUAGUUGCUAUCAAAGAAUAGCAAUUACACGUGUUCCAAGAUUCAUCCCAACAAGAUUGACUUUUUACCUAUUAAACAAAAUAUAUAUUAUAUGAUUCAUAAUUUUAUCAUUACAAUAAAUGUUAAGGUUAUCUAAUGGAGUAUAUUACCCAUAAUUAUAUUGUGUAAUAACGAGAAAAUAUAUUUACUUUUAGUAAUCCGGCCCCAGCCAUUAUCAUGUAAAUAUUGCACCUUUAGUGAACUCUCCAGCACCUAAAUUGCUAAUCCUAAACUCAAUGAUCUCAAAUAACAGGAGCGAGGCUGAGUGGUGUGAGUGCACUGGCCAAGGAGAGUUGUUGUUGUUAUAGAUUCAGCUACUGUCAACAAAAACCUCCAAGUAGCACGGGCUAUGGUGAGCCCUAGUGGACUUACCUGGCAGAAGAGCGGGGCCUGUAGCCUGACCUUUAAUAGGCUGCGUGGAGGCCUACACCUUCACAGGGUCAUCCGUGUUCUAACGGGCUUCUUGCCAUACAUAUUCGCAACAUGUCGAGGGUAUUGUGAGAUGUUGCAUAUAUUUUGAUUACUAGAUGUUGAGAUACGUAUAAUUUUGCGAUGUUAUAGAUCUCUCUUUUUUUAGCAUAA
rnacentral:misc_RNA from 1 species